rnacentral:rRNA from 1 species
CGAACGCUGGCGGCGUGCUUAACACAUGCAAGUCGAACGCGAAAGUUUUCUUCGGAAAGCGAGUAGAGUGGCGCACGGGUGAGUAACGCGUAAGUAAUCUACCCUGGUAUCUGGGAUAACCCACCGAAAGGUGUGCUAAUACCGGAUACGCUGAUUUAUCAGGAAAGGUGGCCUCUUCAUGAAAGCUACUGUACCAGGAGGAGCUUGCGUACCAUUAGCUAGUUGGUAGGGUAAUGGCCUACCAAGGCAACGAUGGUUAGCGGGUCUGAGAGGAUGAUCCGCCACACUGGAACUGGAACACGGACCAGACUCCUACGGGAGGCAGCAGUGAGGAAUAUUGCGCAAUGGGGGAAACCCUGACGCAGCGACGCCGCGUGGAUGAUGAAGGCCUUCGGGUCGUAAAAUCCUGUCAGAUGGAAAGAAAUGUAUAUUGGUUAAUACCCAUUAUAUUUGACGGUACCAUCAAAGGAAGCACCGGCUAACUCC